UAGUUAGUUUGUUGUUGCUAGUGGCAAUGCUAUUUGUCUAUUGCAAUUGACAACAGGUUGGUUAAAAAUUGAUGUACAUGUUAGGAUUAAUGCUAGACUAUUCUCGUGGAUGCCAAUCUCCUAGAUUAUUUAGAUAUAUGGCUUUAGUGUGGUUUAUAGUCAUGCUCCUGAUGUUGCUAGGGUGGUUGACUGUCAUGUUGUGGCUAGGCUCUUUUGCUGUUGGAUGGUACAUUCUUAGCUGGCUUAUGCGGGAUCUAUGUUCUAGUGAAAAGAGUGUUGCUUGGAGUUCUAGUCUCUCCCAGAUCCCUAAUUAUUUUGUUUGUUCGAUUUAGAGCAGCAGGUGCCCUUUAUGGACAACAUCAACGAGGAACAUGCUGGACCACACGCCCAUGCUCUUGAGCUAGACGAGGACAUCAUCGUGUCGUACCUCAAUCUCGAGGUGACGAUGAUGCCGACUCACCGCACAAGUGGUUGAUGAACAACUUUGCCAAGCACUAGGCCAACCUGAGUGUGGGCCCCAUCACAUCCAAGAUGAUGGACGGGACCGGUGUUGGUUUUUUGUGAUUUUGCUUGCCUAGCCGCAACCAUGGACGUGGUGAUGCCUGGCCUCGGCUACAACUGCACAGUGAUUGAAGAUCAACCCUGCCAAGUUGUUGAAAUAAGCACUCCAUGGAUGGAA